rnacentral:tRNA from 10 species
ACACGUCCACAGACACGGGAGGGAGAGGGUGUGGAAUGGAGCAGUGGUCCCCAACAUUUUUGGCACUAGGGACCGGUUUCGUGGAAGACAGUUUUUCCACGGACCGCGGGGGCGGGGGGAAGAGUUGGGGGAUGGUUUCGGGAUGAAACUGUUCCACCUCAGAUCAUCAGGCAUCACUUAGAUUCUCAUAAGGAGUGCAGUUUAGAUCCCUGGCAUGCGCAGUUCCCAAUAGGGUUCGCGCUCCUGUGAGAUUCUAAUGCCACCACUGAUCUCACAGGAGGCGGAGCUCAGGCGGUACUGGUAGCUAGCCCGGAGUUCACCUCCUGCUGUACAGCCGGGUCCCUAACAGGCCAUGGACAGGUGCGCGGCCCAAGGGUUGGGAACCCCUGAAAUAGAGGACAUCUGGGCAAACCCAAUGUUUCUGUGUGAAUUCGCUUUUGGAGAUAAUAUUUGCAGCUCAUUCAAAAGGAAGGCCACAUUUCUCUGCGUUAAAAUCAAAUUUAGUGACCCAAGUCUCGCCCCUAAAGUCGGGCCCUUAAUUUCCCAAAACCCCACUGGCACAUGAAACCUUGCCUCACAACGUGCAUCUCUCUUCUGGACGCCUGGCCGGAGCGGCCAUUGCUGGCUCUUCCCGUUUCAGAAGUGGAACCUUGAUCUCUACUCCAAAUAUGCCCAGACCCGGGGCUUGAGAAUAGCUUAAAGGGCUAUUGUCUCGCCUAGCUGUCCCCAUUUCCCGCCCGGCAGUCAGCAGGGCUCUCGCCGCCAGUCCGCAAGCCAGGGCGUGGGCAGAGGCUGACGGUGAUUUCCACCGCCUGUGUAAUGGAUUCCGCCGCAUUCCAGGAGCUAAAGCAGCAUUACUACUGGAACCUAAAGGAAACGUUCUGCUGAGCUAGUGUUUGGAAGCUCUGAACAGAGGAAAGAAGCUCUAAUUUGCCACAUUUUCUGUGACUUAGUUCAGAAAGACUAGAAGGGGAGUUUUUCAAAAAACACCUGAAUCAAGAAAGUAGUUUCGCAAGGCCCCAGCGAGAUUUGAACUCGCGACCCCUGGUUUACAAGACCAGUGCUCUAACCCCUGAGCUAUAGGGCCUCACGCAGAAACCGCCUCUUCCUUUCACAGAAAAGGAAAAGAUUUGCAGGGCUUCUGCCAGCAUCUGAGCAUAGAAACUAAGUAAAACCUGGAUGUCCUUUCAAUCCAUUUCCCGACUACUAGAAUUCGGUUCACAGACUCAGUGUUCUUGCUGGGGAUGGUACAAAGUGAAGGCCAGUGAGAGGGACCACUACUAUCCUAAGAUUGGAGAAAUCUGCCCAACGCGACACAGUCUAACACAGAAAGAUUCUCCACUCCCUCACUUCAGACUGAAAAUUAAGAAGGGAAAACCGGCAGAGGAAGGAGCUCACCACAGGUCUCACUUGAAACUGCUGACAUCCGCAUUUUGUUUCCUGCUUGACUCAGGACUUCGUACCAGCAACUGUCUGCCUCCAGAGACCUUUCUCACAGCUGCGAGUCUCAGUGCCAGAGCAGGCAUUCGUUAAUUUGCAGUUUAAUUCAUUCCUUCAUUCAACAAACACUGCAUUCCAGUUCUGUACUAGGCUCUGCACUAAGAAUUAGGGAUCCAGAUAUGAUCUUUAUCCUGAAGUCACUGUCACAGUUUUGUGGAACAAAAGAACUUUAGUUUUCAUGAAGGAAAACAAUGAAAAGUAGCUGUGCCAGGUGUGAAGGGGCGUUGGCCAUGCCAAGGUCCACACAUUUACAAAGUGAACCAUCCGGGGGUGUCUUCAAGAGGGCAUUGGCCUGAGCUGCACUAUGAAGGGAGGUUAAGACUUAGACAAAAAUGGGAGCAGGGUGGUCCCUGGUAGAAUAAAAUUACGAGCAAAGUCCGAGAGAAAGACUGAGACAUUCAAGGGAACACUGGCUGGGGCAGCAGGUGAGAAGAUUAGUAGAAGAAAAUAGAAAUUCACCAAACAUUGAUGAGUUUGCGGAAUUAAUUGAAGGGACGAGCAACCAGAGUCAGAAACACCAGUGACUGGCCAUGGUGAAGAUGCUCAAACAUAAAGCUGCAAAAAGGCACUUGGCACUCUAUCAGCCCAAGAAGAUCCUAAACAAAGUUAAUGGCCAGGCAUUCUCUGGAUCUCCAAGAUACGUAAACCCAAGGUGCAAAUCAGAAUGCUGACCUGUGGUCCCAGCUUCUCAGAAAAACUCCUCACACUUUCUAUUUUCCUUUGCUAAGCUCAAUUUUUUUCUGCUGAGCUCCACAACAAUUACUAGAAGUAGGAGAACAGACAUAGGUGUACUUCUUAUUUGCCCUUACCUUAGGGGAAUAGAUCUUUGGAGUCCCAACUUAAUAUUGGGAGGGUGUCUUACUAGUCUUCCUACCUCUGGUGGGUGCUGUGUCUUGAUGUCUGAUCCUCUUGUUUCUCCCACCCAAACAGGCUACCAAAAUUAUAUAGCCCAGCAUUUCAG